CACGUAGGCGGCGCUCUAAGUCAGGUGUGAAAUCCCCCGGCUCAACCGGGGAACUGCACCUGAUACUGGAGUGCUCGAGGACGGUAGGGGUGAGUGGAACUCCAGGUGGAGCGGUGAAAUGCGUAGAUAUCUGGAGGAACACCGGUGGCGAAGGCGGCCUUCUGGGUCGUUCCUGACACUAAGACGCGAAAGCAUGGGUAGCAAACG
rnacentral:rRNA from 1 species